UACAGAGGUGGCGAGCGUUGUUCGGAUUUACUGGGCGUAAAGGGUGCGUAGGUGGUUGCGUGUGUCGGGCGUGAAAUCCCACUGCUCAACGGUGGAACGCCGUCCGAAACUACGUGACUAGAGUGCAGGAGAGGAGAGCGGAAUUCUUGGUGUAGCGGUGGAAUGCGUUGAUAUCAAGAGGAACACCAGUGGCGUAGGCGGCUCUCUGGAAUGCAACUGACACUGAGGCACGAAAGCGUGGGGAGCAAACAGG
rnacentral:rRNA from 1 species